AACCCUAUAAUCCUAAGCAUUAUUUUAAACCAAACCUAAAUCCAACCUAAACCAAACGCUAAACCUUUCCUACUACCUAAACCCUAAAUCCUACCUAACCCUAAACCCUACCUAAACCUAGAACUUAACCCUAUCUAACCCUAAACCCUACAUAAACCUAACCCUAAUCCCUAAACCCUUCCUACUACCUAAACACUAAACCUAUCUAACCAUAAACCUACCUAACCCUAAACGUAAACCCUACCUAACCCUAAACCCUAUUUAACCUUAAACCCUACCUAACCCUAAACCCUACCUAACCCUAAAACCCUACCUAAAACCUAGGGUUUAGGGCUAGAAAGGGUUUAGUGUUAGAAAGGUUUUUGGUUAGGUAGGGUUUAGGUUAGGAAAGGUUAGUAGGGUUUAGGGUUAUGUAGGGUUUGGUUAGGUAGGGUUUAGGGUUAGCUAGGGUUUAGGGUUAGUAGGGUUUAGAUUUAGGUUUGGUUUAAAAUAAUGCUUAGGAUUAUAGGAUUGAAACAUGUUGAAUAAAUUUCAAGAAACAUGGUAGAGACCUCAUAUGAAAUAUCCUAUAUUAUCCAAGAAAAAGAAUAUCCUUAUUUUUAAUAGUAUAUUAUUGUUUUUUUUGUCACGAAUCCUAUAUUACUAGGUGUUUUGCCCGCUUAAACAUUUUCAUAAAUUUUUGAAAAGUUCUUUUUAUACUAUACUAGUUAUAUUGUGUUUUCCAAAAAGAAUUCUUGCGAUCAAUUUAGUAUCAUCUAUGCAUUGUCUACUCUCGAAUAUAUAAAUAUAUAUAGGUAGUGUUUAGUGUAGGUAGGGUUUAAGCUUAGGUAGGGUUUAGGGUUAAGUAGGGUUUAGGGUUAAAAAAGGUUUAGGGUUAUAAAGGUUUUAGGGUUAGGUAGGGUUUAGGAAGUAGGCUUUAGGGUUAUGUAGGGUUAGGGUUAGGUAGGGUUUAGGGUUAGGUAGGGUUUAGGGUUAGAAAGGGUUUAAGGUUAGUAGGAUUUAGGGCUAGAAAGGGUUUAGAGUUAGUAGGAUUUAGGGCUAGAAAGGAUUUAGGGUUAGAGAGGGUUUAGGGUAAGGUAGACUUUAGGGUUAGGUAGGGUUUAAAAUUAGGUAGGGUUUAGGAUUAUGUAGAGUUUAGGGUUAGGUAGGGUUUAGGGUUAAAAAGGAUUUAGGGUUAGAAAGGGUUUAGGGUUUAAGGUUAGGUAGGGUUUAGGGCUACGUAGGGUUUAGGGCUAGAAAGGGUUUAGGGUUAGAAAGGUUUUAAGUUAGGUAGGGUUUAGGUUAAGAAGGGUUAGUAGGGUUAGGUCGGGUUUAGGGUUAGUAGGGUUAGGUAGGGUUUAGGGUUAGGGUUAGUUAGGGUUUAGGGUUAGAAAGGUUUUAGAGUUAGAUAGGGUUUAGGUUAGGUAGGUUUUAGGGUUAGUAGGGUUUAGGGUUAUGUAGGGUUUAGAAUUAGGAAGGGUUUAGGGUUAGCAGGUUAGUAGGGUUUAAGGUUAUGUAGGGUUAGGGUUAGGUAGGGUUUUGAAUUAGACAGGGUUUAGGUUUAGCAGGGUUUAGGGUUACAAAGGGUUUAAGGUUAGUAGGAUUUAGGGCUAGAAAGGGUUUAGGGUUAGAAAGGGUUUAGGGUUAUGUAGGGUUUAGGGUAAGGCAGGGUUUAGGGUUAGAAAAGGUUUAGGGUUAGGUAGGGUUUAGGGUUCGGUAGGGUUAGGGUUAGGUAGGGUUUAGGGUUAGAAAGGGUUUAGGGUAGAUAGGGUUUAGGGUAAAGUAGGGUUUAGGGUUAGGUAGGGUUUAGGAUUAGAAAGGGUUUAGGGUAACUCUUAACCCCACCUAACCCUAACCCUAAACUCUACAUAACCCUAAACCCUACCUAACCCUAAUCCCAAAACCCUUUCUACUACCUAAACACUAAACCUAUCUAACCGUAAACCUACCUAACCCUAAACGUAA
rnacentral:lncRNA from 1 species